GCCGGAGUGGCGGAAUGGCAGACGCAUGGGACUUAAAAUCCCCCGACCUUCACUGGUCGUACCGGUUCAAGUCCGGUCUUCGGCACCA
rnacentral:tRNA from 1 species